GACGAACGCUAGCUACAGGCUUAACACAUGCAAGUCGAGCGACCGGCGCACGGGAGAGUAACACGUAUCCAACCUGCCCUUUACUAGGGGAUAGCCUUUCGAAAGAUAGAUUAAUACCCGAUAUAAAGGAUGGGGAAGCGUUCCAUUAGGUUGUUGGUGAGGUAACGGGUCACCAAGCCUUCGAUGGAUAGGGGUUCGGAGAGGAAGGUCUCUCACAGUGGAACUGAGACACGGUCCAAACUCCUACGGGAUGCAACAGUGAGGAAUAUUGGUCAAUGGGCGCUAGCCUGAAGCAGCCAAGUAGCGUGAAGGAUGAAGGCUUAUGGGUCAUAGACUUCUUUUUUAUAAGAAUAUGUAUUAUAUGAAUAAGGAUCGGCUAACUCCGUGCCAGCAGCCGCGGUAAUUC
rnacentral:rRNA from 1 species